AUUGAACGCUGGCGGCAGGCCUGACACAUGCAAGUCGAGCGGCAGCGGGAAAGUAGCUUGCUACUUUUGCCGGCGAGCGGCGGACGGGUGAGUAAUGCCUGGGAAAUUGCCCAGUCGAGGGGGAUAACAGUUGGAAACGACUGCUAAUACCGCAUACGCCCUACGGGGGAAAGCAGGGGACCUUCGGCCCUUGCGCGAUUGGAUAUGCCCAGGUGGGAUUAGCUAGUUGGUGAGGUAAUGGCUCACCAAGGCGACGAUCCCUAGCUGGUCUGAGAGGAUGAUCAGCCACACUGGAACUGAGACACGGUCCAGACGCCUACGGGAGGCAGCAGUGGGGAAUAUUGCACAAUGGGGGAAACCCUGAUGCAGCCAUGCCGCGUGUGUGAAGAAGGCCUUCGGGUUGUAAAGCACUUUCAGCGAGGAGGAAAGGUCAGUAGCUAAUACCUGCUGGCUGUGACGUUACUCGCAGAAGAAGCACCGGCUAACUCCGUGCCAGCCGCCGCGGUAACAC
rnacentral:rRNA from 1 species